rnacentral:tRNA from 3 species
AAAAGAUUAGUUAAAAAAUAACAUUAGAAUGUCAAACUAAAAUUAUUGAUAAAUCAAUAUCUUUUA